UCACGCUUUCAACUAUAAUUGGGUAGCACACCCUAAAAAUUCCAUAGAUUCUUGAAAUAACAACAUUGAACUUAAAUGUCAUAAUGAAAAACUACAUAACAUAGUCAAACUAAACGACUACAACCUCCAUUCAUUCUUUUUAUCUAUUGAGUAGCGAUAGACUAAACCUUAUCUAGUAAGUUUUAAAAUUAAUCAGAAAUUACUGUAAUGAAAGCAACACAAUACUAAUGAACUAAAAGAUAAUUCCAUAUCUUCUCUCAACAUAAUCGACUAGUGUAAGCCCAAAAUAUCUCUCAUUUCAAUCUUUAAAGUAUAC
rnacentral:lncRNA from 1 species